ensembl:lncRNA
GCUUAUUUUACAUAUUGUUUUUUUUUGAAUUUCACUUAAUUUUUUUAGUAGAUGUGUAUUUGUGACAAUAAGUUCUUAUAUAACAGAUUCUGAAGAUUCAUUAAAGAGGGAGAAAAAGAUGAUCUCCAGCACAUCUGAAUCCACUAUGACUGCUUCCAGAGCCUCCACGAAAGACAAGGCAACCUACGCAAGUAAAUGUCCUAAAGAAAUGCAAAUAUUACAAUAACUGUCAUACACAUCAGUUCAUUCAGCAAUGAUGGCCUGUUGUUGGAUCUGGUUUUUGUUCAUAGUUUCAUAUUCUAAUGUUACAACAGAGAUCCGUAAAGAUGAGUCUGACAGUGCAGGACUAGGAUUCUGUUCCUGCUGCUCGUGGUGGAAGUGGCUUCUGGCAUUGAUCUUAGGUCUUCUCCUUCUGCUGGGACUCCUCUGUGGUCUCAUCGCACUGGGUGAGGAGGUCCGGAAGCUGAAGGCUCGUGUGGACGCUAUUGAUGGUGGAGAAAGCACAGUCUCUGCUCGAACCAGCCGUUUGUCCUCCUCCUCGGCUGUCAACAUCAUUGAUCCACUGGAGUCUUCAUACCCUGAGCUCAUCCCUGGCGUCCGUGCCGAUAACACUAUAAACCUGGGUUCAGCAUCUGCUGCACAAGACCCUGUGGUUCUGCAGAGGACCAUCCAACAGAUCCUCAGAUCCGAACUUCAGUCUGACACCAUCAGAGCUUCACUGGCAACUUCACUUAAGGGUGAGAGAGGAGAGCCUGGGCCUAAAGGUGACCAAGGACCUCCUGGAGUGAAAGGUGAUACAGGGUUUCCUGGAAUUCCAGGUAAUUCUUUUUUAAUAUCACAAAACAUAACAAUCCUUUACACUGACUGUAUACUGUACACAUACCUAAAUAUAUGA